GGGAUCUGUUAGUGAAGUCUAAUUUGAAUUAUAUAAAAUGUAGUGUAUAGUUCAAUGAGUUUUGACAAAUGUUUGCAGUGUGUAACAACCAGGCACGAUCAGGAUAUAGGACAUUUUUAUCACCCCAAAAAGAUUCUCCCCAUUAUAACCCCUAAAGCUACACAUCUGAUUUCUUUCCCUAUAGCUCUGCUUUUUUUCAGAAAGUCACAGAAAUGGAAUCCUACAUUAUAUAACCCUUUGUGUCUGGUUUCUUUCACUUUGCUUAUAAGAUUCAACAGUGUUGUUCCAUAUACCAGUAUUUCAUCCCUUUUUUAUUGCUGCAUAGUGUCCCAUUAUAUGGAUGUGCCACAAGUUGUUUUCCAUUUGCCAACUGAUAGAUACUGGAGUUGUUUCUAGAUUUUGGCUUCAUUUCUUUUAGGUAAAUGUCUAGGAGUAGGAAUGCUAGGUGUGAUGGUUAAUAUUAGUCGUCAACUUGACUGGAUUGGGAAUGCCUAGGUCACUGGUGACACACUGUUGCUGGGUGUGUCCACAACUCAUGGUGUGUCCAUGAGUUGUUUCCAGAGGAGACUGGCAUGUGAGUCAGUGGACUGAAAAAGAAAGACCAGCCCUCAAUGUGGGUGGGCACCAUCCAAUCACAUUGGGAUGUGGCUAGAAUAAAGCAGGUGGAAGAAAAGGGACAUUCAGCUUGCUUGGCUUUCCUUUUUUGCUCUCUCACACUUCUGGAGCAAGAAGACUUUUCUGCCUCUCACCCUUGGACAUCAGACUCCAGGUUCUUCAACCUCUGGGCUCUGGGACUUACACUAGCAGCCUCCCAGGGACUCUCAGACCUUCAGCCUCAGAAUGGGGGCUGUAGUGUUGGCUUCCCUGGUUUUGAGGCUUUCACACUUGGACUGAGUUACACUAUUGGCUUCUUUCAUUUUCCAGCUUGCCUAAUUGUGGGACUUCACCUUUGUGAACAUGGGAACCAAUUCUCCCUAACAAAUUAACUUCCAUACACAUACACACAAACACACAUAUAUCUACAUACACAUAUACAUACAUAUACAUGUAUAUACACAUAAUUGUAUAUCUAUGUAGACAUGUAUAUAUGUAUAUCCACACACAUGUGCGUGUAUAUACACACAUACACAUGUGUAUAUAUGUAUAUCCACACACGUGUCUAUGUGUACAUCCACACAUGUGUAUAUGUGUAUAUCUACAUAUACAUAUAUGUAUAUAUAUGUGUAUUAGGGUUCUCUAGAGAGACAAUAUACUAGGUUUUAUGGAAAAUAUAUCUUAACUUGAUAAGAAACUGCCAAACUGUUUUCCACAGUGGUUACAGCAUCUGCAUUCCCAUCAGCAAUGUAUGCGAGUUCCAGUUGUACUAUACCCUUGUCAGCACUUGAUAAGGUUGUAACCAUAAUUGGUCCAGUGCCCAAUGCAUUCAGCAAGUCAACAUGUGGAGACACCAGGCUGCAGCAGAGAGGUUUAGUCGUAGUGUCACAGAACAGGGAGACAGGAGGGAACCUCAAAUCCAUCUCCUUAAGGAGUUUGGGGUAGGGUUUUUUAGGGUUUUGGAGUGGGCCGAAGGGCAGAGAUCAUUCAUUGGUUGAACAGUGCAGGUUGAAGUCAUAGGGCAGGAGAUGAGGAAGCUGUCUUCUCAUGCUGAUUCUGCGCUUCAAAAUGCUUAUGGAAUUCAGGGUCUGUAAACAUCUUAACUGAUCCUUAAGCAAAAACCUUAUGGUUUUAAUGUCAGAGAUUCUAUCUAUAGGAACAAUAGAGAUGAAAAUCAACUGUUAAAUAGUCAUGAUCCUAAAGUUGGAAAUUCUAUUGAUAGGAACAACUGCGGAUGCAACUGGUCAGUAUCUAGAGUGCUGUGUGACUUUCAGCAACUGAUAAAUGGGUCAAAGUGCAGCCUGAUUAAUGCUGAUUUUUUUUUUUGUCAUGAGUAAGACGAUAUCUACUAGAUUCCUCUUUUGUAAAGUUCCUGUUUUUUUAAAUAAGAAUUUCAUGGGGAGAUGCUUUGAACCUAUGUAAGUAACUCAUUCCUUAUUCAACUUUUCCCCACUAGAUUUAGCAAACAUUGAUAUUUCUUGUCUGAUGAUUGCCAAAUGGUGAUUUUCUAAUUCUGUUUACUGAGUACCCCCAUUUUUCUAAGAGAAAGAUAACUGUGUUUUAAAACAUUUUUUUUUUCUUUUCUCCUUUUCUCCUUUCUCCCACUUCCCACUUAGUUCCUUAGAAAUGCAAUUAUAAUCUUUACCUUCCCUUCACCAGACACUCCUUACAGGGCAAGCUUAUUUAACCAUGUGCUUUUAGAAGGUUCUAAGCCAGAAAUCUCUCCCACCAGGAGACUGCCUGGAGAGACAACAGUCAAUUUACAAUCUAAACUAUGCCUGCUAGGAAACUCUGUCCCACUUGGAGAGCAUCUCAGACAAUGGCCACUUUACAAUCUAGUCCUGCCUGCCAUGGUGCCAGCUCAAACACCCGGUAGAUAAAAGCGCUAAGGAGAGUCAUGUAGAUCCUCACCUGCUUGCUCCCUCCCCUGCAUGCCAUUCAUGCCAAGUCCCACUUUAAAAGCCCCUGCUUUCUGCCCCAAAAGCAAAUCAGUACCUUAAGGCAGGAACCUGCACUUUUCCCCCUACGUUAAGCUUUGGAAUAAAAAGUCACUUUCUUUACGGCAGACCUCACUCUUGUUAAUUGUGCUCUGUAAGCAGUGGGCUGCUGAACCUAUGACUGGGUUACAAUUCCAUUCUUUUUUCUAAAUAUAUUAUUGAAUUCUAUUCUAAAGAGCUCUUUAUUGCCAUUUAUUUUUUUUUUUUGAAAGUGUGGACUCAUAGAUUCCAUUUUAACCCAUGGGAUAUAAUCUCCUGCUACUGUGAUUUAUUUUGAUGUUCAAAUUGUCCCAGAUUUGGCCAACAGGAGCCCUUUCAAGCUGAUUGCUUUGUCCUUUUGAACUGUCUCCACCAUUUCUUGAGCAUUUCCACACUUUCUAGCACAAGAUGUUCCAGUCUCAUACUAUACUUUCUCUGGCCCAACCCUAAAAUCAGCCAUUUCUCUAAAGCGCCCUGGUUCCUUUUCAUGGAGAAAGGUGUUUAGAGCUAGGUGUUAGGUGUUCUCUUGGCUAAUGUGGUGUUGCUGCACCAAGACCUUCUCACUGGUUAGGCCUAGGAAAUAUAUGUAAAUACAUUUAUAGACAUGUGUGUGUAUAUAACUGACUGUGGAAAAAUUACACACCCUAUUCCCUCACCCUCAACAAUUAACAAAGAAGACUUCAGUGACCAAAUGUCGGGGGGCGUUUCCCCACACACCAAGCAAGCAAUCGAUUCUGCAGCAGACACCAACUGGGUGUCCUCCAAUUCCCUUCUAACCUGGAGAUAGCAUCAGAUCCCACAGGUUGAGGCUCACUCCCCAACACAUCCCAACAACUGCCCCACUCUGUCCCUGGCCACUGACCAGUCCCAAGUCUGGGCCUCCAGAACUUCCGACAGGCUUCAAGUUGUGGUUGCCAUGACCCCCUCUUGGGUUAGAUUAAUUUGCUAGAGCAGCUCACUGAACUCAAGCAAACACUUAUGUUUACAAAAGAUAUUACAAACAAUACAGAUGAAAAGAUAAAUAGGAUGAGGUGUGGGAGAAGGGGCUCAGACCUUUCAUGCCUUCCCUGGGUGCACCACCCUCCCAGGAACCUCCUGGUGUUCAGCUAUCUAGAAGCUCUCCAACCCUGUCCUCAUGGGUUUUUAUGCAGGCUUCAUUACAUAAGGGAUGACUGAUUAAACUAUUGGCCACUGGUGAUAACCUGACCUUCAACCCUUCUCUAAUAUAUAUUUCAGAAUCUCACAAAAUAUAUAGAUACACACUUUUACAUUUAUAUUUAUUUUUAUAUCUACAUGUAUUAAGAACCAUGACUUUACAUGAAUAUCUCCAAUUCCAAUCCAAUCACACAAACUUCUUGCUUUUCUUAUUUCUGUACUUGUAACUCCCUUCUCCAACAGGGAAAAAUCUGGCUCCCAUUAGCCUCAAUAUAGUUUUUCUUUGUGUAGUUCUCCUGUAUGUAAUCAGCUGUCUGGCCUUGCAGGGCUGCUGCCCCACCUUCCUUCUUUGGGCUCAGACUCCUCACUGAACUGACAGCCCAGUCCAAUAUGGGAGUGACUAUAUUCUCCCAUGUAGAUGGAAAAGCAGAGAGAACAAGUUAGCAGAGAUACAUAGAAAACAAUCACAAGGGGCACAGAGAGUACCUUUUGGGUUCCUGGAAGCUUUUCAAUGACUGGUUCUAGUUUUUGCUAAGAUGUGGCUGUAUUCCUGUUCUGGGCUUUUGUGAGAAGCACCUAUAUCAUUAUGGUAAAUUCUCCCUUUUUGGUUGCGCUAGUUCAGCUUGGUUUCUGUUACUUGCAAACAGAGAGUCUUAAAGGUAUAUUUAAAUCCUGGCUUGUUCUACAAAAAAUAAACCAAAUUGUGGAAAUAAUAGGGGCUAAGGGAAAAUAAAAAUUAGCCCAUAGAAAAUGCAUGCCACAUGGUACUAUACCGUUGCUUAACACGGGCUGAAAUAUAGGCUUUAAGAUUUCUAGUGAUCCAAACAAAGUGUGAAACAAUAUCCCUUACAAGAUUUUAUGUCUCUGGAUUUAAAACAAACCAGCAAGUGGAGCAUGAAUAGAUAGACCAUUAGAACGGAUACAGAGUCCAGAAGUGAACUGCUCAAUAAAUGACUGUGUAGCCACCUGGACAAAAAAAUUAAUUUGGAUCUAUACCUCACCCUAUAUAUUAAAUCGAUUCCAAAUGGAUCAACUUUUAAUUCCAAAAGACUUAAAGUCUAAAUGUCCAUCAAUAGAGAAUUGGUAAAUUAUGGUAUGGAUAUACCUGCAAUAAUAUGUUAAGGGGGUUGAAAAAACAGCAAGGAGCUCUCUAUGUGUUACUAUAAACAUGCCCCCCGGAUACAUUAAGUAAAAAACACAAGGUGGAGUAAAUAUGUAUGGCAUGCCGGCAUUUUUCUAAACAAGGAACACAAAGGGCAUAUCUUGGCUCAUAUAUACAUAAACAUUUUGAAGAAUGAGCAGGAAACAGUGGUCACCUAUUUGUGACACUAGGACAGGUGUGAGGGACAUCUUUUUCCACUGUGUAUCUUUUAUAGGCUUUCUGAUAAAUGAAUAAUAUGGAUAUACUAUUUAUUUUAAAAAUAAAAACUGAAAUUGAUAAAAAUCAGACAAACCGGCCAGGCGCAGUGGCUCAUGCCUGUAAUCCCACCACUUUGGGAAGCCGAGGCAGGUCAGGAGUUCGAGACCAGCCUGGCCAACAUGGUGAAACCCCGUCUCUACUGAAAAUACAAAAAUUAGCCGGGCGUGGUGGCACAUGCCUGUAACCCAGCUACUUGGGAGGCUGAGGCAGAAGAAUCGCUUGAACCUAGGAGGCAGAGGUUGCAGUGAGACGAGAUUGCGCCAUUGCACUCCAGCCUGGGCGACAAGAGUGAAACUCUGCCUCAAAAAAGAAAAAAACAAAUACAUAAAAUUAAAAAAAUAAAAAAAUCAGGUAUACCUGCUGAUGGAACAAGCAGCCUGGCUAGUCUUGACAGAUUGCAAGAGGGCAACCAGAGGGGCUGAAGUUGUACCAGCCCACAAAUUUCCACUGCCAAUAGAGUCCAGUGCCUACCCCCAUACUGAGAUGCUGUCCUUCUCAUAAAGGCUUAUCAGGGAGUCCACCGAAGAGAUAUCUACAUUUGGGGAUAAGUUAAGACGAUGUUCUUUAAGCCAGACACUUAUUUAACGCCCACCGAUAUUUUAAUUCCUAGCUACAAAGAAAACCUUAUAUGUAUGACUGGGGUCUUAAAGGUAUGACAUGCUCACCGUGCUUGACAUAUAAGAAACUACUUUUUUAAAUACAUGGGUCUGCCAGGAGCAUCCUACUUCCUAAUUUUGCCCAUAAAUAUGCUACUUUCAAGUGAAACCUUAAGCCAAUUCAUAGUAAAUAUAUUAUCAAAAUUUUAGCACAGUAAUGACUGAGCACACCAGCCUCAAAGCCAGACUACGUGGGUUCAAAUCUCAGUUGUUCACUUACUGGCUACUUACUUGUUGGAAGUUAUUCCAUUUCUUCGUCUGUUAAAACAGGAAGCAGGCUGGGUACGGUGGCUCACGCCCGUAAUCCCAGCACUUUGGGAGGCCAAGGCGGACGGAUGACAAGGUCAGAAAUCGAGACCAUCAUGGCCAACAUGGUGAAACCCCGUCUCUUCUAAAAA
rnacentral:lncRNA from 1 species